rnacentral:rRNA from 1 species
GAUGAACGCUGGCGGCGUGCCUAAUACAUGCAAGUCGAGCGAACAGACGAGGAGCUUGCUCCUCUGACGUUAGCGGCAGACGGGUGAGUAACACGUGGAUAACCUACCUAUAAGACUGGGAUAACUUCGGGAAACCGGAGCUAAUACCGGAUAAUAUAUUGAACCGCAUGGUUCAAUAGUUAAAGACGGUUUUGCUGUCACUUAUAGAUGGAUCCGCGCCGCAUUAGCUAGUUGGUAAGGUAACGGCUUACCAAGGCAACGAUGCGUAGCCGACCUGAGAGGGGGAUCGGCCACACUGGAACUGAGACACGGUCCAGACUCCUACGGGAGGCAGCAGUAGGGAAUCUUCCGCAAUGGGCGGAAGCCUGACGGAGCAACGCCGCGUGAGUGAUGAAGGGCUUCGGAUCGUAUAACUCUGUUAUUAGGGAAGAACAAAUGUGUAAGUAACUAUGCACGUCUUGACGGUACCUAAUCAGAAAGCCACGGCUAACUACGUG